rnacentral:rRNA from 1 species
GGGUGCGAUCAUACCAGUACUAAUGCAUCGGACCCCAUCAGAACUCUGAAGUUAAGCGUGCUUGGGCGAGAAUGGUACUAAAACGAGCAUUGUCGCCGAACCCC